UGCCAGCCGCCGCGGUAAUACAGAGGGUGCGAGCGUUAAUCGGAAUUACUGGGCGUAAAGGGUGCGUAGGUGGUUAUGCAAGUCAGAUGUGAAAGCCCAGGGCUCAACCUUGGAAUUGCAUUUGAAACUGCAUGACUAGAGUACGGUAGAGGGAAGUGGAAUUUCCGGUGUAGCGGUGAAAUGCGUAGAUAUCGGAAGGAACACCAGUGGCGAAGGCGACUUCCUGGACCGUUACUGACACUGAGGCACGAAAGCGUGGGGAGCGAACAGGAUUAGAUA
rnacentral:rRNA from 1 species